rnacentral:rRNA from 1 species
GACUCCAUGAAGCUGGAAUCGCUAGUAAUCGCGGAUCAGAAUGCCGCGGUGAAUACGUUCCCGGGUCUUGUACACACCGCCCGUCACACCAUGGGAGUCAGUAACGCCCGAAGCCGGUGACCCCAACCUAUCUGGAGGGAGCCGUCGAAGGCGGGACGGAUGACUGGGGUGAAGUCGUAACAAGGUAAC